rnacentral:sRNA from 1 species
UCAAAGUUGUUCAUAUUGAUAAUGUUUGCUGUCAUGCAAAUAAAUGUUUACUGUUGGCAUUGUACAAACAUGUUGGCAAGCAAAAGCUUCCUGACAAGGUGCAACAUGGGAUGUGAAAUUCUUGUUUGCUUGCAUGACCUGUGUACUGUCUGUGUCUUGUGAAUCACAUUCCUCGCCAAUGGAAUGCAAAUUGCAUGGUAAGGUACAUGAGAUAUGACAUGAGUUUGAGAUUCAUGAUGAGCAAAGUACCGUGAGGGCAAUGUGAAAAAUUUUGAAAAGAGAUUUAAAGAAAGCCUGCAAUUGCAUACUGUAAAAGCAAGUGAAUACAAAUUACAAAUGGAAUAGCUUUCUUGACAUGUCUUUGUGAUUUUUGUUGAAGCUUGCAUUUUUCAUGUCUGUUUGUAAAUGCAAAUAGCAGUGCAUGUUUGUGCUGCACACCUGUGUAGCAGAUCCAUGCUUGUAUGUGUGCAUUUAUGUCUUCUGUGCGCUCAACUCCAUUUUGCAUCAAUGGUGAAUCUCCCACCAAUGUUUCUAUGUGCAUUUGGACAGCGUAGUAG